GGUAAAUCCUGCCCAGUGAGUCAUUUAACGGCCGCGGUAUCCUGACCGUGCAAAGGUAGCAUAAUCACUUGCCUAUUAAUUGUAGGCUAGAAUGAAAGGACAAACGAGAAUACACCUGUCUCCUUUAAGCCCCUAAAAAUUUAUCUUUAAGUGAAGAAGCUUAAAUAAACGUGCAGGACAAGAAGACCCUAUAGAGCUUUACCUAUAAGCCACAUAAACAGUGGUUAUCGGUUCGGUUGGGGCGACCAGGGGAUACUAACCACCCCUAAAUUAUAAGAUCAACUAAUCCUAUCAUAGAUCCUUUAUCAAGAUCAAUGAAUCAAGCUACCUUAGGGAUAACAGGUAAAUCCUCUUAAAGAGCCCUUAUCGUAAAAAGGGGUUGGCACCUCAAUUGUUGGUUUAG
rnacentral:rRNA from 1 species